rnacentral:rRNA from 1 species
UAGGGAAUCUUCGGCAAUGGACGAAAGUCUGACCGAGCAACGCCGCGUGAGUGAAGAAGGUUUUCGGAUCGUAAAACUCUGUUGUUAGAGAAGAACAAGGACGUUAGUAACUGAACGUCCCCUGACGGUAUCUAACCAGAAAGCCACGGCUAACUACGUGCCAGCAGCCGCGGUAAUACGUAGGUGGCAAGCGUUGUCCGGAUUUAUUGGGCGUAAAGCGAGCGCAGGCGGUUUCUUAAGUCUGAUGUGAAAGCCCCCGGCUCAACCGGGGAGGGUCAUUGGAAACUGGGAGACUUGAGUGCAGAAGAGGAGAGUGGAAUUCCUUGUGUAGCGGUGAAAUGCGUAGAUAUAUGGAGGAACACCAGUGGCGAAGGCGGCUCUCUGGUCUGUAACUGACGCUGAGGCUCGAAAGCGUGGGGAGCAAACAGG